rnacentral:misc_RNA from 1 species
GUUGAAGAACGUAGUGAAAUGCGAUAAGUAAUGUGAAUUGCAGAAUUCAGUGAAUCAUCGAAUCUUUGAACGCACAUUGCGCCCGCCAGUAUUCUGGCGGGCAUGCCUGUUCGAGCGUCAUUACAACCCUCAGGCCCCCGGGCCUGGCGUUGGGGAUCGGCGGAAGCCCCCUGCGGGCACAACGCCGUCCCCCAAAUACAGUGGCGGUCCCGCCGCAGCUUCCAUUGCGUAGUAGCUAACACCUCGCAACUGGAGAGCGGCGCGGCCACGCCGUAAAACACCCAACUUCUGAAUGUUGACCUCGAAUCAGGUAGGAAUACCCGCUGAACUUAAGCAUAUCAAUAAGCGGAGGA